rnacentral:rRNA from 1 species
GCUGACGAGCGGCGGACGGGUGAGUAAUGUAUGGGGAUCUGCCCGAUAGAGGGGGAUAACUACUGGAAACGGUAGCUAAUACCGCAUAAUGUCUNCGGAGCAAAGCAGGGGACCUUCGGNCCUNGCGCUAUCGGAUGAACCCAUAUGGGAUUAGCUAGUAGGUGAGGUAANGGCUCACCUAGGCGACGAUCCCUAGCUGGUCUGAGAGGAUGAUCAGCCACACUGGGACUGAGACACGGCCCAGACUCCUACGGGAGGCAGCAGUGGGGAAUAUUGCACAAUGGGCGCAAGCCUGAUGCAGCCAUGCCGCGUGUAUGAAGAAGGCCUUAGGGUUGUAAAGUACUUUCAG